CCUGGCUCAGAUUGAACGCUGGCGGCAGGCCUAACACAUGCAAGUCGAGCGGUAACAGGAAAGCGCUUGCGCUUUUGCUGACGAGCGGCGGACGGGUGAGUAAUGUCUGGGGAUCUCCCCGAGGGCGGGGGAUAACCACUGGAAACGGUGGCUAAUACCGCAUAAUGUCGCGAGACCAAAGUGGGGGACCUGAAAGGGCCUCACGCCGUCGGAUGAACCCAGAUGGGAUUAGCUAGUAGGUAGGGUAAAGGCCUACCUAGGCGACGAUCCCUAGCUGGUCUGAGAGGAUGACCAGCCACACUGGGACUGAGACACGGCCCAGACUCCUACGGGAGGCAGCAGUGGGGAAUAUUGCACAAUGGGCGCAAGCCUGAUGCAGCCAUGCCGCGUGUAUGAAGAAGGCUUCGGGUUGUAAAGUACUUUCAGCGGGGAGGAAGGGUUCAGCUUGAACAGAGCUGAAUUUUGACGUUACCCGCAGAAGAAGCACCGGCUAACUCCGUGCCAGCAGCCGCGGUAAUACGGAGGGUGCAAGCGUUAAUCGGAAUGACUGGGCGUAAAGCGCACGCAGGCGGUCAAUUAAUUAGAUGUGAAAUCCCCGGGCUCAACCUGGGAAUGGCAUCUAAGACUGGUUGGCUGGAGUCUCGUAGAGGGGGGUAGAAUUCCAUGUGUAGCGGUGAAAUGCGUAGAGAUGUGGAGGAAUACCGGUGGCGAAGGCGGCCCCCUGGACGAAGACUGACGC
rnacentral:rRNA from 1 species